ACCGCGAUAGCUCAACUGGUAGAGCAUCUGCCCAAUGUACGGAGGGUCGCCGGUUCGGUUUCGGCUCGCGGAG
rnacentral:tRNA from 1 species